AGACUUUUGACAUUCUGUCUGAAGAUUGCCAAAUCAUCUAGUGAUCAUGAAAACUGCAAGAUUUAACUUCACCUGAAAAAUGAAACAAUACUCUAGAAAUUUAACCAUAUUUUGGCAGCGGUGGAUGACUGACAGGCUGCUAUGUGCUGAUAUAUAUUGGCUCUGCAAGAAUCAACAGUUUGGGCAAGUGAGAUCGCUUUACGAAAUGACUCCAACCCGGAAGGAAGCCAUUCGACCCAUUGCUUCUAUGAAUUUUCUCCACAAGAACAACUUAGUGGAUCCCACUUUCCCUAUCCGAUUUCCUUCCAAAAGCCACAACUUGCAUCUGCUAUCCAAACUUUUAUUGCCUCGGGAGUUCAAAAUGAUCAAAGGUGGCGUGCCUUCGUUCAGUACCCUGUCAAAUUUAUACAACUUGCUCUUUAUACUCUUUACUCAGAGAGUAGUAAGGGCGUGGAAUGCCCUGCCUGCAACAGUAGUAGACUCGCCAACUUUAAGGGCAUUUAAAUGGUCAUUGGAUAAACAUUUGGAUGAUAACGGAAUAGUGUAGGUUAGAUGGGCUUCAGAUUGGUUUCACAGGUUGGUGCAACAUCGAGGGCCGAAGGGCCUGUAGUGCGCUGUAAUGUUCUAUGCUGAUCACCCGAGCCAUGCAGGAAAGUCCAUGUGCUUAUGGUCAGUUUGGUGCAUUGUGGUCUAUGAAUUACAAUUAGGUUUGUUGUUACAUGUACUCAAGUACAGGGAUAUAUGAGUGCAGCAAGAAGUGUACAGUGUCACCAUUUCCAGCGCCAUCUUGGGUACAGUGAUACCUUGGUAGAAAAUCUUAGGUAGAAAUUAGAAAAGUAAAGAAAUAAAGGUAAAAUUUCAGCAUUACAACCUAUACGGUGAUCAGUGGCAAAAAAGUGCUAAAACUUUGAUGUUGUUUAAGGUUGAGGUGCUAUUGUUUGAUGCAUUGUAGGAACUACAGGCCAAUUCAGCCCCUCCAGGUUUUGUUUUACACCAUUAGGUUGGUACAACUGAGAUUAUUACAUCCUGGUCUUGAAGGAAAGUCCCGUUAUUCACUGAAUGUUUUAUCUUGGCAGGUUUGAAGUAGGUACCCCUGGCUCCAACAGCAGGUCCAUCAAUCACCGACCAAAUGAAGUCGCUGGCUGCGGCCGUAUUGGAAGUCUCUAACCAGCGACCCCCAGUGGACAGAGCCCACCCUGCGCCGCGUAGGGCUUAUUCACCCAUUGGCUGACGGUGAGCCAGAUGGGGAGGAGGGGGGCGUAAAAAGCGGAUGUCCCCUCUUGGCGGGCCAAGCCAAUUGGUUAAAGUGGGAAGGGGUCGGGCUACA